rnacentral:rRNA from 1 species
CACGUAGGGCGCGAGCGUUGUCCGGAAUUAUUGGGCGUAAAGAGCUCGUAGGCGGCCUGUUGCGUCCGCUGUGAAAGCCCGGGGCUUAACCCCGGGUCGGCAGUGGAUACGGGCAGGCUAGAGGUAGGUAGGGGAGAAUGGAAUUCCCGGUGUAGCGGUGAAAUGCGCAGAUAUCGGGAGGAACACCGGUGGCGAAGGCGGUUCUCUGGACAGUUACUGACGCUGAGGCACGAAGGCUAGGGGAGCAAACGGG